rnacentral:rRNA from 1 species
GCACGGGUGAGUAACACGUAGGUAACCUACCCUCGAGCGGGGGAUAACCCUCCGAAAGGAGAGCUAAUACCGCAUGAGACCACGGUUUCUAACCGAAACUGAGGUUAAAGCAGGCCUCUUCAUGAAAGCUUGCACUCGAGGAUGGGCCUGCGGCCUAUCAGGUAGUUGGUGAGGUAAUGGCCCACCAAGCCUAAGACGGGUAGCUGGUCUGAGAGGAUGGUCAGCCACACUGGAACUGAGACACGGUCCAGACUCCUACGGGAGGCAGCAGUGGGGAAUCUUGCGCAAUGGGCGAAAGCCUGACGCAGCAACGCCGCGUGGAGGAUGAAGGCCCUUGGGUUGUAAACUCCUGUCGGCUGGGAAGAAGUCGUUCGCGGUUAAUACCCGCGGGCGUUGACUGUACCAGCAAAGGAAGCCCCGGCUAACUCUGUGCCAGCAGCCGCGGUAA